rnacentral:rRNA from 1 species
AUACGUAGGGGGCAAGCGUUAUCCGGAAUUACUGGGCGUAAAGGGUGCGUAGGUGGCCUGACAAGUCAGGGGUCAAAGGCAACGGCUCAACCGUUGUAAGCCCUUGAAACUGUCGGGCUUGAGUUCAGGAGAGGAAAGCGGAAUUCCUAGUGUAGCGGUGAAAUGCGUAGAUAUUAGGAGGAACACCAGUGGCGAAGGCGGCUUUCUGGACUGAUACUGGCACUGAGGCACGAAAGCGCGGGGAGCAAACAGGAUUAGAUACCCUGGUAGUCCACGCCGUAAACGAUGAGUACUAGGUGUCGGCCCUAAGGGUCGGUGCCGCAGUUAACACAUUAAGUACUCCGCCUGGGAAGUACGCUCGCAAGAGUGAAACUCAAAUGAAUUGACGGGG